rnacentral:rRNA from 1 species
GGCGGCAUGCGUAAUACAUGCAAGUCGAGCGAAUGACGAAGAAGCUUGCUUCUUCUGAUUUAGCGGCGGACGGGUGAGUAACACGUGGGCAACCUGCCCUGUAGAUUGGGAUAACUCCGGGAAACCGGGGCUAAUACCAAAUAAUCCAUUUCCUCUCAUGUGGAAAUGUUAAAAGACGGUUUCGGCUGUCACUACAGGAUGGGCCCGCGGCGCAUUAGCUAGUUGGUAGGGUAACGGCCUACCAAGGCGACGAUGCGUAGCCGACCUGAGAGGGUGAUCGGCCACACUGGGACUGAGACACGGCCCAGACUCCUACGGGAGGCAGCAGUAGGGAAUCUUCCACAAUGGACGAAAGUCUGAUGGAGCAAUGCCGCGUGAGUGAAGAAGGUUUUCGGAUCGUAAAACUCUGUUGUAAGGGAAGAACAAGUACGAGAGUAACUGCUCGUACCUUGACGGUACCUUAUUA